UUGUUUUUUGGGUGUUUUUUUUUUGGAAGAUUUUUAACAUUGGGCGUUUUGUUUUUGGGUGAUGUGUAAUUUUAUUACACAGUAGUAGGCAAUUAUUUUGAUAAAUUUAAGACAACUUUUUAUCUAUUGUUGAAAGGACUGUGAAGGAAAAAUGAAAGGGGGUAUAAGGCUGAAAGCUGAAUCUGACAUGUUGACAGCUGUUCACCUUUUUCAAGAAUAUUUAAAUUAAAUAUAGGAUAUUGACAGCAGAUCACAAGAAUAUAUGAAAAUAUACAGGAUGAUGUUGUGGAAGACGAUAGCCGGCCUCGAUACGAUAGUUCCACAACAGUACUCUGAGAGCUGAGAACACGACGGAGCAUUGAUAUUCUAUUAAUCUCGUGGAACUAGUAAACGAACCCCUGUUCUGUUAUACGAAAAUAUAUACUGGUAUAAGUUA